GGAAGUUAAGAAACUGUUUCUUAACUUUUAACUAAAAAAACUAAGGACCGGUUCUUAAAAUCUUUAUUUAAGAACUGAUUCUUAACUUUUUUAGUUAAAAGUUAAGAAACAGUUUCUUAGAUUCC
rfam:Brassica napus, WGS project CCCW01000000 data, contig: 16865